AGUCACGUGGUCUAAUGGUUAUGAUUUCUCGCUCACAGCAAGUGCAAGUGGGAGUUCCUCCCAAGCGCCGAGAAGGUUCCCGGUUCGAUCCCGGGCGUGACUA